AGAAACCAGGAAAGGCGUUGGUUGCUAAAGACAGCAGGACGGUGGCCAUGGAAGUCGGCAGCCGCUAAGAGUGUGUAACAACUCACCUGCCGAAGCAACUAGCUCUGAAAAUGGAUGGCGCUUGAGCAUCACACCUAUACCUGACCACUGGGGCAGAAUGGGCGAAAGAGAAACCCAGGGCCUACAGGCCCCAGUGAGUAGGAGGGGCGCGGCGGUGUGCGCAGAAGGGAUUGGGCGUGAGCCUGCCUGGAGCCGCCGUCGGUGCAGAUCUUGGUGGUAGUAGCAAAUACUCGAGCGGCACCCUGGAGGUCUGAUGUGGGGAAGGGUUCCAUGUGAACAGCCUUUGCACAUGGGUCAGUCUAUCCUAAGCUGCAGGAGAAAUCCGGGUCUGGCGAAAUGGGUGCUCUGUCAAAAUUGUCAUUGUGUCCCGCCGAACCUAAGCGAAAGGGAAUCCGGUACUGAUUCCGGAACCUGGUCACGGACAACCUCUCCUUUGGGAGAGGGUCGUUGGGGUCCUUGUGACUCACACCGUAAGGUGGCUAAACUCGGGGAAGUCGGCCGUGAUCCCGGGCAGAGUUUUCUGUUCUGUAUAAGGGCCCGGGUCCCUGGAAUCGCUUCGAGCGGAGAGAGGGAACUGGUUUGCUUUUAGCCCGAAGAGCCCCGCAGUUCUCGCGGGGUCCGAUGGAUGGCGGUCGAACCUUGAAAACUCGAGAGAGGGCGUACAACUUUCGUGCCAGAUAGUACCGAUAUCCGCAGCAGGUCUCCAAGGUGAACAGCCUCUUGACGAUAGAUUAAUGUAGGUAAGGGAAGUCGGCAAGUUA
rnacentral:rRNA from 1 species